AUUGAACGUUGGCGGUAGGCCUAACACACGCUAGCUGAACGACUGGCGGACGGGUGAGUAAUGUCUGGGAAACUGUCUGAUGGAGGGGGAUAACUACUGGUAACGGUAGCUAAUAACGCAUACCCUCCGCUGCGCCCAGAUGGGCUGAGCUAGUAGGUGGGGUACCGGCUCACUUAGGCGACGAUCCCUAGCUGGACUGCGCGGAUGACCAGCCACACUGGCACUGAGACACGGUCCAGACUCCUACGAGAGGCAGCAGUGGGGAAUAUUGCACAGUGGGCGCAAGCCUGAUGCAGCCAUGCCGCAUGUAUGAAGGAGGCCUUCGGGUUAUAGAGUACUUUCAGCGGGGAGGCGUGACCCGCAGAAGAGGCACCGGCUAACUCCGUACCGGCAGCCGCGGUAAUAC
rnacentral:rRNA from 1 species